rnacentral:rRNA from 1 species
GAUGAACGCUGGCGGCGUGCCUAAUACAUGCAAGUCGAGCGAACGGACGAGAAGCUUGCUUCUCUGAUGUUAGCGGCGGACGGGUGAGUAACACGUGGAUAACCUACCUAUAAGACUGGGAUAACUUCGGGAAACCGGAGCUAAUACCGGAUAAUAUUUUGAACCGCAUGGUUCAAAAGUAAAAGACGGUCUUGCUGUCACUUAUAGAUGGAUCCGCGCUGCAUUAGCUAGUUGGUAAGGUAACGGCUUACCAAGGCAACGAUGCAUAGCCGACCUGAGAGGGUGAUCGGCCACACUGGAACUGAGACACGGUCCAGACUCCUACGGGAGGCAGCAGUAGGGAAUCUUCCGCAAUGGGCGAAAGCCUGACGGAGCAACGCCGCGUGAGUGAUGAAGGUCUUCGGAUCGUAAAACUCUGUUAUUAGGGAAGAACAUAUGUGUAAGUAACUGUGCACAUCCUGACGGUACCUAAUCAGAAAGCCACGGCUAACUACGUG